GAAAGUAAACAAGGGCGCAUGGAGGAUGCCUAGGCUCUCGGAGGCGAAGAAGGACGUGAUAAGCUGCGAAAAGUUACGGUAAGGCGCAAAUAGCCCUAGACCCGUAAAUAUCCGAAUGGGGCAACCCGGCCAGCAAUGGCCAUACCGCCAAGCGGUAAGCCAACGCGGGGAACUGAAACAUCUAAGUACCCGCAGGAAAAGAAAAUAACAAUGAUUCCGCCAGUAGUGGCGAGCGAACGCGGAACAGCCCAAACCACCCGUGUUACGGCACGAGUGGGGUAGAAGGAUCCACGCUACGGCAAGAAAUAAGUUAGCAGAAUACGAUGGAAAUCGUAGCCAAAGACGGUGACAGCCCGGUACGCGAAAACGGACAGAAGCCCAGUGGACACCUGAGUAACCCAGGACACGAGAAAUCCGGGGCGAAUCAGCGGGGCCCAUCCCGUAAGGCUAAAUACUCCCGAGAGACCGAUAGCGAACCAGUACUGUGAAGGAAAGGUGAAAAGAACCUCGAACAGAGGAGUGAAACAGACCCUGAAACCAUGCGCCUACAAGCGGUCGGAGCAUGUUAAAAUGUGACGGCGUGCCUUUUGCAUAAUGAACCUACGAGUUACUCUCGCUGGCAAGGUUAAGCGAUUCAGUCGCGCAGCCGAAGCGAAAGCAAGUCCGAACAAGGCGUACAGUCAGCGGGAGUAGACGCGAAACCAAGUGAUCUACCCUUGGUCAGGUUGAAGGUUGGGUAACACCAACUGGAGGACCGCACCGAUAAGCGUUGAAAAGCUUACGGAUGAACUGAGGGUAGGAGUGAAAGGCCAAUCAAACUUGGAGAUAGCUCGUACUCCCCGAAAUGCAUUUAGGUGCAGCCUCGAAGUAAAGUGAUAGAGGUAGAGCGACUGAUAAGAUGCGAGGGCUUCACCGCCUAUCAAGUCUUGACAAACUCCGAAUACUAUCACUUGAUCUUCGGGAGUGAGGGCAUGGGUGCUAAGGUCCAUGUCCGAAAGAGGAACAACUCAGACCACCAGCUAAGGUCCCGAAAUAAGGGCUAAGUUGAAUAAACGAAGUAAAACUGCAAAGACAGCUAGGAUGUUGGCUUGGAAGCAGCCAUUCAUUUAAAGAGUGCGUAACAGCUCACUAGUCGAGGAGUUUUGCAUGGAUAAUAAUCGGGCAUAAGCCCUUUACCGAAGCUGUGGAUGUCGUAAGACAUGGUAGGGGAGCAUUCCGGCGGCGACGAAGGCCGUCCUCGAGGACGACUGGAGCUUUCGGAAAAGCAAAUGUAGGUAUAAGUAACGAUAAAGGGGGCGUGAAACCCCCUCGCCAUAAGACUAAGGAUUCCUGAUCAACGCUAAUCGGAUCAGGGUAAGUCGGGCCCUAAGGCGCAGCCGAACGGCGUAGCCGAUGGAAGAAACGGUAAAGAUUCCGUUACUGGAUAUAGGAGCGAUGUGGAGACGGAGAAGUGACACACCCGCCUGCCGACGGAAGCGCAGGUUAAAGGAAGUAGGUAAACGCCGGGUAGGCAAAUCCGCCCAGCGUGCCGAAGCUGACAGUAUCGAGAGCCCCCGGGCAAUCGAAUAGCGGUGGUAAUCAGGCUCCCAAGAAAAUCCGCUAAGCAUAUUCUAUAUCCACCCGUACCCCAAACGGACACACGUAGUCGGGUAGAAUAUACCAAGGCGCUCGAAAGACUCACGGUUAAGGAACUAGGCAAAUUGACCCUGUAACCUCGGGAAAAAGGGUCCCCAGUAAGAUGGGGCGCAGAGAAUAGGUCCAGGCAACUGUUUAACAAAAACACAGGGCUGUGCGAAAUUUCAAGAUGAAGUAUACAGCCUGACACCUGCCCGGUGCCGGAAGGUUAAGAGGAGAGCUUAUCGCAAGAGAAGGCUUGAAUUGAAGCCCCGGUAAACGGCGGCCGUAACUAUAACGGUCCUAAGGUAGCGAAAUUCCUUGUCGG
rnacentral:rRNA from 1 species